rnacentral:rRNA from 1 species
AAAGUAUGCAGAUUGAAAACUCCCGAAAAUAAAAGAUCUAGGAAUACUAUUUGCAGUGGGCUACCGUAUAGUAUACUGUUGCAUUAGUAUAUAAAAAUAUAUUCCUAGAGGUGAAAGGCCUUCACUUUUAUAGAUAUCUGGAUAGACAUUAAAUAAAUUUAGUUUAUAGCAUAAUUACAGUGUGAUAAGAUAGUGUAAUAAGAAUUUGUAAUAUUUACAUUAUAGCCAUUAAUUAUUACUUAGCGGCAGUAUCUUUGCAGUAAUACACCUAAAUUCAUAAUUCUAAAAUAAUGUUUGACUUAGCUAACCUAUGUGGGCAGGUAAAUAAUGUAUAAAUUAGUAUAUAUAAUAAAUUUUUUGAAGGAACUCGGCAAAUAUGCUAUACGACUGUUUAACAAAAACAUAGCCAAUAGAUUCUUAAUUAUUGGUGCGACCUGCCCAGUGAUUAAUUUAACGGCCGCAGUACCCUGACUGUGCAAAGGUAGCAUAAUAACUUGGCUUUUAAUUGAAGUCUAGCAUGAAAGGAAAAACGUAUAGCGACUGUCUCCAUGUUCAAUUUUUAAUUAAGUUACUAAUAAGGUGAAAAUUCCUUAAUAUCAAACAAUAGACGAGAAGACCCUUAGAAUUUUAAGAAAAGCCAGCAACUAAAAUGGGGUGAUUUUUGUUGGGGCAACAUUUUUUCAUUAAAUAAAAAAAAUAUUUACUAUUAUAUAACGAAUGAGUAUAAUAAAGUAUAAAUUACCUAAGGGAUAACAGCAUAAUUUUAAAUAAAGAUUGUGACCUCGAUGUUGGACUAGGAACUAUUAAGGCUAGUCGUUUUAAUAUAAUAGGUUCUGUUCGAACUUUAUUUCCUA